rnacentral:rRNA from 1 species
UGGCGGACGGGUGAGUAACGCGUGGAAAACCUGCCGUAUACUGGGGGAUAACACUUAGAAAUAGGUGCUAAUACCGCAUAAGCGCACAGCUUCGCAUGAAGCGGUGUGAAAAACUCUGGUGGUAUACGAUGGUUCCGCGUCUGAUUAGCUAGUUGGUGGGGUAACGGCCCACCAAGGCGACGAUCAGUAGCCGGACUGAGAGGUUGGCCGGCCACAUUGGGACUGAGACACGGCCCAGACUCCUACGGGAGGCAGCAG